rnacentral:rRNA from 1 species
GUGACCUCAAAUCAGGUAGGACUACCCGCUGAACU